rnacentral:rRNA from 1 species
GUGCCAGCAGCCGCGGUAAUACGUAGGUGGCAAGCGUUAUCCGGAAUUAUUGGGCGUAAAGCGCGCGUAGGCGGUUUUUUAAGUCUGAUGUGAAAGCCCACGGCUCAACCGUGGAGGGUCAUUGGAAACUGGAAAACUUGAGUGCAGAAGAGGAAAGUGGAACUCCAUGUGUAGCGGUGAAAUGCGCAGAGAUAUGGAGGAACACCAGUGGCGAAGGCGACUUUCUGGUCUGUAACUGACGCUGAUGUGCGAAAGCGUGGGGAUCAGACAGGAUUAGAUA